UACGAAGGGGGCUAGCGUUGCUCGGAAUCACUGGGCGUAAAGGGUGCGUAGGCGGCCUAUUAAGUCAGGGGUGAAAGACGGUAGCUUAACUAUCGCAGUGCCUUUGAUACUGAUGGGCUUGAAUGUAGUUGAGGUAGGCGGAAUGUGACAAGUAGCGGUGAAAUGCAUAGAUAUGUCACAGAACACCAAUUGCGAAGGCAGCUUACUAAAGUAUGAUUGACGCUGAGGCACGAAAGCGUGGGGAUCAAACAGG
rnacentral:rRNA from 1 species